rnacentral:rRNA from 1 species
AUUGAACGCUGGCGGCAUGCUUUACACAUGCAAGUCGAACGGUAACAGGCCGCAAGGUGCUGACGAGUGGCGAACGGGUGAGUAAUGCAUCGGAACGUGCCCAGUCGUGGGGGAUAACGCAGCGAAAGCUGCGCUAAUACCGCAUACGAUCUAUGGAUGAAAGCGGGGGACCGUAAGGCCUCGCGCGAUUGGAGCGGCCGAUGUCAGAUUAGGUAGUUGGUGGGGUAAAGGCUCACCAAGCCAACGAUCUGUAGCUGGUCUGAGAGGACGACCAGCCACACUGGGACUGAGACACGGCCCAGACUCCUACGGGAGGAAGCAGUGGGGAAUUUUGGACAAUGGGCGAAAGCCUGAUCCAGCAAUGCCGCGUGCAGGAUGAAGGCCUUCGGGUUGUAAACUGCUUUUGUACGGAACGAAAAAGCUCCUUCUAAUACAGGGGGCCCAUGACGGUACCGUAAGAAUAAGCACCGGCUAACUACGUGCCAGCCGCCGCCGUAAUAC